UAAGAAACCCUAACUGCCACUUUGCU
rnacentral:piRNA from 1 species